GGGCGGGUAGCGUAGUGGUUGAACAGCGUGUUCACUAAACGUUUUAUCAGCGCUGCUUUUCCAGCGUUUAGCGAGAGUCCUGGGUUCGAAUCUCAGCCCGCCCG